rnacentral:rRNA from 1 species
AUUGAACGCUGGCGGCAUGCUUUACACAUGCAAGUCGAACGGCAGCGGGGAGGAGCUUGCUUCUCUGCCGGCGAGUGGCGAACGGGUGAGUAAUACAUCGGAACGUGUCGAGAAGAGGGGGAUAACCACCCGAAAGGGUGGCUAAUACCGCAUAAAUUCUGAGGAAGAAAGCUGGGGACCUAGGAAUAGUCCUAGCGCUUUUUGAGCGGCCGAUGUCGGAUUAGCUAGUUGGUGAGGUAAAGGCUCACCAAGGCGAAGAUCUGUAGCGGGUCUGAGAGGAUGAUCCGCCACACUGGGACUGAGACACGGCCCAGACUCCUACGGGAGGCAGCAGUGGGGAAUUUUGGACAAUGGGGGCAACCCUGAUCCAGCCAUGCCGCGUGUAUGAAGAAGGCCUUAGGGUUGUAAAGUACUUUUGUUAGGGAAGAAAAGUCAGCUGUGAAUAAUGGCUGAUACUGACGGUACCUAAAGAAUAAGCACCGGCUAACUACGUG